GAUGAACGCUGGCGGCGUGCCUAAUACAUGCAAGUCGAGCGAACGGACGAGAAGCUUGCUUCUCUGAUGUUAGCGGCGGACGGGUGAGUAACACGUGGAUAACCUACCUAUAAGACUGGGAUAACUUCGGGAAACCGGAGCUAAUACCGGAUGAUAUUUUGAACCGCAUGGUUCAAAAGUGAAAGACGGUCUUGCUGUCACUUAUAGAUGGAUCCGCGCUGCAUUAGCUAGUUGGUAAGGUAACGGCUUACCAAGGCAACGAUGCAUAGCCGACCUGAGAGGGUGAUCGGCCACACGGGAACUGAGACAGGCUCCAGACUCAUACGGAGGGCAGAAGUGGGGAAUCUUCCGAAAGGGGCGAAGGCCUGACGGAGCAACGCCGCGUGAGUGAUGAAGGUCUUGGGAGCGUAAAACUUUUUUAUGAGGGAAAAAAAUAUGUGUAAGUAACUGUGCACAUCUGGACGGUACCUAAAAAGAAAGCCGCGCCUAACUACGU
rnacentral:rRNA from 1 species